GAUGAACGCUGGCGGCGUGCCUAAUACAUGCAAGUCGAGCGAACAGACGAGGAGCUUGCUCCUCUGACGUUAGCGGCGGACGGGUGAGUAACACGUGGAUAACCUACCUAUAAGACUGGGAUAACUUCGGGAAACCGGAGCUAAUACCGGAUAAUAUAUUGAACCGCAUGGUUCAAUAGUGAAAGACGGUUUUGCUGUCACUUAUAGAUGGAUCCGCGCCGCAUUAGCUAGUUGGUAAGGUAACGGCUUACCAAGGCAACGAUGCGUAGCCGACCUGAGAGGGGGAUCGGCCACGCUGGAACUGAGACCCGGCCCAGACUCCGAGGGGGGGCAGCAGUAGGGAAUCUUCCGAAAUGGGCGAAAGCCUGACGGAGCAACGCCGGGUGAGUGAUGAAGGUCUUCGGAUCGUAAAACUCUGUUAUUAGGGAAAAAAAAAUGUGUAAGUAACUAUGCCCGUCUUGACAGUCCCAAAUCAGAAAGCCACGGCUAACUACGU
rnacentral:rRNA from 1 species